AAAGAAAAUACCUCCAUAAGAUCAGGUUAUAGGCAAGCCUGUAUGGUAUUUUCUCAAUUAGUGAUUGAUGGGAGUAGAGCCCAGCUUAUUAUGGGUAGUACCACCUGUAGGCUGGUGAUCCUGGGUUCUACAAGAAAGCAGGCUGAGCAAUCCAGGAGCAGCAAGCCAGUAAGCAGCACCCUCCAUGGCCUCUGCAUCAGCUCCUGCCUCCACGUUUCUGCCCGAUUUGACUCCUGUCCCGUCUUCCUUUGAUGAUGAACAGUGAGUGAUAUGAAGUGUGAGGAAAAUGAACCCUUUCCUCCCCAACUUGCUUUUUGGUCAUGGUGUUUCAUCAAAACAAUAGAAACGUUAAGGAACACCUGUAGGUAUUUACCAACCCCUAAGCAAAUUACUGCAGCCCCAGUGGCUCUAGUAUUGACAGUAUUCAGAUCAGGAGGCAAGCAUGGAAGGACUGAGAUCCAAAUUCUGAAUAUAGUUGGCAAUGUACUCAGUGUAGAAUGUUUGGCUAACAUACAGAAAGCCCUGGGUUUCAUCCCCUGUAUCAUAAACAAACAAAAAUCUGAACACAAACUCUAUCCAAACUCCAGGCUGACUACUAAAGUAAGUACUCAUGAGAUGUAGAGAAACCGGACCAUGAAGGAAGUCUGUCCCUAUCCUGGUGCAGACACUAUCCUGGUGGGACUUGCAAAUCUGCACCUUUUUUGGGGGUGGGGGUGGGGUGUUUUGAGACAGGGUUUCUCGGUAUAGCCCUGGGGCUGGCUGUCCUAGAACUCACUUUGUAGACCAGCACCUUUCUAUUCACCUCCCCACCCCCAAUCAACACACCUAUAAGCAGAAUACUUGUAAUCUCAGAAUUUAGGAGAGAGGAUUGCAGCACACUUGGGUUACAGGGAAAGACCCUGUUUAAAAUUACAAAACAAACAAAAAACCCUUAAUGGCAUAAAUCACUAACCUCCAGAAUUUUUAGCUGUUCUUAGAUUUGGAAGUUUUGGAGAAAUUAUAGAAACUAGAUGACCAUGGAAAGGUGCAAAAGCUUGAGCAGAAACUGGACAAACCUUUGUUCAUCACUAAGUCACACGGAUGCAGAACAAACCACUUAAAUAUCCUGUCCCAAAAUGAAGCUAGAGGGUACAGGAAAAAUGGAGCCUGAAUGUCAGACACUGCACACAGACACUCCGGGUACGUUAGUUAACACUCGUCUAAAGAAAAAGCCUGAGGAUGUAGCUCAGUGACUGACAGGGUGUUUACUUAGCUUAUGAGAUUUAAGAGCUCAAGUUUGAGGCGGGGUAACAUAGUGGCAUCUUGUCUAAAAAAAACCCCAAAGAACCAAAAAACAUACCGCCUCCAAACAAGCAAACAAAAACGAAAAAACGGAGGCAGAGGUAGGUGGAUUUCUGAGUUCGUGGCCAGCCUGGUCUACAGAGUGAGUUCCAGGACAGCCAGGGCUAUACAGAGAAACCCUGUCUCGAAAAAAAAGAAAAGGAAAAAUGAAAAAAUCUCCAGCAAUCUUAAGAGAAACCUAACACACAUAGUUUUUAACCUGACAUGCAAGUGUACUUUCAAGCAAAAUAUAAACUCAUACCUAUACAAUACAAUGAAAAAUUUUAUGUUAAGAUGUUUCGCUACCUCUUUCCCUCUCUUCCCUUUUCUCUCCGCCUCCCAUAACCUGACAUUUCAGAACCUAAUAUUUCAAUGAGUCACUAUCCAUGUGAAAAGCAGAGCUUGAGCUAGAAGAACUUAACCCUGUCUCCAAUAGGACCCAUCCCAGAAGCAUUAAUGUCCCCACUGCUAAACUUCCGGUGGUGCAUUCUUCUCGAUUUCCACCCAGCAUUCCUUUUGUCCUCCCUCCCAGGCUCAAUUUACCUAUUUUGACUUCUGUGACCUCCUUGUCGUCCCUGGACCUUGCCCUGGGUGGCUCUGGCUCCUCCCCCAUCUUAUUUGUGGAAAGUUCUGGGCUUGUUCCCAGGAGGAGGGAAGUUCUAGCCCAAAUGGAAGCUACAAACUAGCUGUGUAGUCAAGCUGGAGACUUGUAUCAUGAAUCAGAGUCCACCAUCACUCAAAGAAGAGGACACAUCUGUGUUUGCCUAGAUUUGGGAAGCACUCAGACUCUGUUAGCACUUGACACUGCUUUGAGUUCUGAGUCAGGUCUCAGGAAGUUUCUGUAAGAGGUUGUAGGGUCUUCUAGCCUCAAUAUCACGGCCACACGAGGGCGCUGCUGCUCUGACCUCUCAGAUUGUGUCUGAUUGGGAAUCAGUUGGAAGUGGCCUACUGAAACCUGGAUGGACAAGGGUGGUUAGGAAUGAGAUGUUUCUGACCACCCAGAUCUACGCAGUAGGUGGAAGAAAGUUAGAGCUGUUAGAAGGAAUCCUGUAGUAUCUCUGAGUAUUCCCCUCUCCAUCUGUUUGCUGUCAACACUGGAAAAUGGAACAGAUUGCUUUGUUGUUCCAGUUUCUGUUGGUUAGUUGUGGGGUAGAGACAGUGUAUAUAUGCACACAGAGCAGGGGAUUCAACCCAGGGAAUAUAUUAAUUAGGCAAUCUAUUACUGAGCCACACUCCCUGUCCCUGAAAACUAUUUUCUAAUCAUGACCUUUUAAAUUUUAGAAUGUAAGGGACUGGAGAGAUGGCUUAGUGUUUAAGAGCACGUACCGCUCUUGCAGAGGGCCUGAAUUUAGUUCUCAGCACCCACAUCAGAUGGAUCACAAGUCUGCAACUUCAGCUUCUCUGUAACACACACAUAAAUAAAUCUUAAAAUAAAAUUUAGGAUGCUUUUAUUUUCCCCAGAGAAACUGCAAAGGUAAUAUAUAGAGUCACCAGUUUCUCUGUUUAAAACAUCCUACAGGGCUGGAGAGACAGCUCCAUGGUCAAGAGCAUAUUGUCUGCUCAUACAGAGGACCCAGUUCCAAUUCCAACACUCACAUGGUAGCUCACAGUCCUCUUAUGACUUCCAAGGGCACUGCAUAUGUGCUUCUCAUGACCUCAUGCAAGCAUACAUAUACAUGCAUAAAACUAAAUCUCACAUCACCAUACAUUUUAUAACCCAUGAAACUAUAUGGACACACUUAUUUAUACAUAUUUUAUUUACACUCUUCAGUUGUUACUAAUGUCCUUUUUUUUUCCUAGGACGUUAUCCAAGGCACCACACACUCGGUCUCAGUUGAUCCUUAGGGCUCCUCUGUGACAAUUUCUCUGAUUUUCCUAGAUUUUGAUAACCCUGAAACUUUUGAGGAGGACUAGCCCCACAUACUGAUGAAUGUUAUUUGACUUAAGUUUGACUGGGACCAUGCAUUUAAGAAGUCCAGAGAGGCAAAAUGAUGCCUGCACCGUGUCAAGGUUGUGCACCAUGCUCUUGAUUUGUCCUGGGGGAAAACCUAUGCAUCACAAGAAGUGACCUGUUGGGGGAAAGUUUAUUUUGGCUCUCAGUCAAAAGGAACUCACUUUCUGGUAUAAAGCGAAAGGCCCUGAAAAGCAUAGUGGGCUGGGCUGCUUCAUCUUUAAAUAUGGAGUGGAAGUAUGAAUGCAAACGAGGACAUGGCUGCUGCUAGGAAUGGUUGAAGAGAAGGUUUUCGGGGAUUUUUUACUGUAGAUGUGAGGGAGAGUUCUGCCAGAUGCAUCUGGAAAGGUACGUACGGACUGAACUGGACCAUAAAGGGGGUGGGGGUGGGAGCAGAACAAGAAGAAAAGAGAGGGGAGGGGGCAAGAGAGGAGGAGCCAUGGCCCAAGAGGCAAAGGAUAACCCAGCACAUGUGGCUAAAAUGGCUGAGUUAUAUAGAAAAGAGAAGCUGGGGAAAGGGAAGCGAAGCCCAGGCCCUGGGUUGGAGAGGUUUAGGUAGGGGGCAGGGCAAGAAAUGCUGGGCGGAGUCACAGGGGCUGAGAUUUGCCUUGGGUUUCUUUGAGACAUAAGAAAGUAGCCACACAAUUCUUUAGAAAUGAUGUAUAGGAAAACAAGAAGUAAAAAUAACUUUGGAGGGGGAGGGGGAAGAAGAGGGAGAGUGCUACAAUAGGGUCUCACAGUGUACCACUGGCUAUCCUGAAACUCACUGUGUAAACCAGGCCUCCUGAGUGUUAGGAUUAAAGGUAUGUGCCACUAUGCCUGGCUUGGUGAAAAAAGGGUGUAUGUAUGUAUGUAUGUAUGUAUGUAUGUAUGUUUGUUUUUCAAGACAAGGGUCUUCUGUGUAGCUCUGGCUGUUCUGAAACUCACUCUGUAGACCAGGCUGGCCUCAAACUAAGAGAUUCUUCUGUCCCCUGAGUGCUGAGAUUAAAAGCAUUUGCUACCACUGCCCG
rnacentral:lncRNA from 1 species